AUUGAAACCUUUGGAGCCAACCCUCGACCAUGCCUAGUCAAUGGAAGUAUGGAACUAAAGGAUGUGUUAGCAGCUACAGACUACAGAGUGCUAAAAACGACCCCCGAAAUAACGUCAACGGCGAUGGCAAGAGGUCUUCCAAAAUGUAUGGAAAAGUGAUUUUCUCUAUAGGAUUCCUCCUCCUCCUGGUCUUCUCCUACUCCAUCUUCAUUGGGACCGUUGAUUUCAGAUCAUACUUCUUUCCUCGACUCCCACUGUCACCGGCCGGUCCACGCUCAGCGUGUGCAACCGGGCCGCCUCUUAAGGUCUACAUGUA
rnacentral:misc_RNA from 1 species